GCCAGGCAUGGUGGUGCAUGCCUGUAAUCCCAACUACUUGGGAGGCUGAGGCCGGAGGAUCACUUGAGCCCAGGAGGUCAAGGCUGCAGUGAGCUAUGAUUGCAUAACUGCAUGCCAGCCUGGCCAAGAGAGUGAGACCCUGUCUCUA
ensembl:misc_RNA Metazoa_SRP Metazoan signal recognition particle RNA